UGCAGUCGAGCGGGCCUUUCGGGGUCAGCGGCGGACGGGUGAGUAACGCGUGGGAACGUGCCCUCUGGUUCGGAAUAACUCAGGGAAACUUGAGCUAAUACCGGAUACGCCCUUUUGGGGAAAGGCUUGCUGCCGGAGGAUCGGCCCGCGUCUGAUUAGCUAGUUGGUGAGGUAACGGCUCACCAAGGCGACGAUCAGUAGCUGGUCUGAGAGGAUGAUCAGCCGCACUGGGACUGAGACACGGCCCAGACUCCUACGGGAGGCAGCAGUGGGGAAUAUUGGACAAUGGGCGCAAGCCUGAUCCAGCCAUGCCGCGUGAGUGAUGAAGGCCUUAGGGUUGUAAAGCUCUUUUAUCCGGGACGAUAAUGACGGUACCGGAGGAAUAAGCCCCGGCUAACUUCGUGCCAGCAGCCGCGGUAAUACGAAGGGGGCUAGCGUUGCUCGGAAUCACUGGGCGUAAAGGGCGCGUAGGCGGCGUUUUAAGUCGGGGGUGAAAGCCUGUGGCUCAACCACAGAAUGGCCUUCGAUACUGGGACGCUUGAGUAUGGUAGAGGUUGGUGGAACUGCGAGUGUAGAGGUGAAAUUCGUAGAUAUUCGCAAGAACACCGGUGGCGAAGGCGGCCAACUGGA
rnacentral:rRNA from 1 species